rnacentral:rRNA from 1 species
AAAUGACUCUCAGCAACAGAUAUCUCGGCUCUCGCAUCGAUGAAGAAUGUAGCAAAAUGCGAUACUUGGUGUGAAUUGCAGAAUCUCGUGAACCAUUAAGUCUUUGAACGUAAGUUACGCCUGAAACCACAAGGCUAAGGGUAUACCUGCCUGGGUGUCACAUAACGUUGCCAACGCCUGGUCCCCCUCGAGCGACGAAUGAUGGCCUCCAGGGAGCCUCGUCUCCCUUGAUAGGCGAAAAAAGGGCCCUACGUGAUACCUACCACGAUCCAUGGUGGUUGAGAGAGCAUUUGCUCGAGGACAAGACGUACGCGUGCCGUCCUGGCGGAGAGGGCCUGUUGGGUAAGGUAGAGCCCCCUGCUCCCAAGCGACCCCAGGUCAGGCGGGGCCACCCACUGAGUUUAAGCAUAUCAAUAAGCAGAGGAAAAGAAACUAAUAAGGAUUCCCCUAGUAACGGCGAGCGAACUGAGAACAGCCC